rnacentral:rRNA from 1 species
AGCGCAUACGGUGGAUGCCUUGGCAACGAGAGGCGAUGAAAGACGUUGGAGCCUGCGAUAAGCUUCGGGGAGGUGGCAACCGACCUUUGAUCCGGAGAUCUCUGAAUGGGGAAACCCACUUACCAUAAGGUAGGUAUCCUGCACUGAAUACAUAGGUGCUGGAGGCGAACCAGGGGAACUGAAACAUCUAAGUACCCUGAGGAAAAGAAAUCAACCGAGAUUCCCUUAGUAGCGGCGAGCGAACGGGGACCAGCCCUUAAGCUGUUUUGGUUUUAGUGGAACGCUCUGGAAAGUGCGACCGUAGAGGGUGAUAGUCCCGUACACGAAAAGGCCUUAGCAGUGAAAUCGAGUAAGUCGGGACACGUGUUAUCUUGACUGAACAUGGGGGGACCAUCCUCCAAGGCUAAAUACUCCUCGUUGACCGAUAGUGAACCAGUACCGUGAGGGAAAGGCGAAAAGAACCGCGGUGAGCGGAGUGAAAUAGAUCCUGAAACCGUAUGCGUACAAGCAGUAGGAGCACCUUCGUGGUGUGACUGCGUACCUUUUGUAUAAUGGGUCAGCGACUUACUGUCAGUGGCAAGCUUAACCGUAUAGGGGAGGCGUAGCGAAAGCGAGUCUUAAUAGGGCGUCUAGUCGCUGGGAGUAGACCCGAAACCGGGCGAUCUAGCCAUGGGCAGGGUGAAGGUGAGGUAACACUUACUGGAGGCCCGAACCGGGAUCUGUUGAAAAAGAUUCGGAUGACCUGUGGCUAGGAGUGAAAGGCUAAUCAAGCUCGGAGAUAGCUGGUUCUCCUCGAAAGCUAUUUAGGUAGCGCGUCAGAUGAUUACCGCUGGGGGUAGAGCACUGUUUGGGCUAGGGGGACAUCGCGUCUUACCAACCCCAUGCAAACUCCGAAUACCGGCGAGUACAGUCUGGCAGGCAGACAGCGGGUGCUAACGUCCGUUGUCAAAAGGGAAACAACCCAGACCGCCAGCUAAGGUCCCCAAUCAUGGCUAAGUGGGAAACGAUGUGGGAAGGCAUAGACAGCUAGGAGGUUGGCUUAGAAGCAGCCACCCUUUAAAGAAAGCGUAAUAGCUCACUAGUCGAGUCGGCCUGCGCGGAAGAUGUAACGGGGCUCAAACCAUGCACCGAAGCUACGGGUUCAUCUUAGGAUGAGCGGUAGAGGAGCGUUCUGUAAGCCUGUGAAGGUCAAUUGAGAAGUUGGCUGGAGGUAUCAGAAGUGCGAAUGCUGACAUAAGUAACGACAAUGCGAGUGAAAAACUCGCACGCCGGAAGACCAAGGGUUCCUGUCCAACGCUAAUCGGGACAGGGUUAGUCGGCCCCUAAGGCGAGGGCGAAAGCCGUAGUCGAUGGGAAACAGGUUAAUAUUCCUGUACUUUUUGGUACUGCGAUGAGGGGACGGAGAAGGCUAGGCCAGCGCGGCGUUGGUUGUCCGCGUUUAAGGUAGUAGGCUGGGAUCUUAGGUAAAUCCGGGAUUCCGUUAGGCCGAGAACUGAUGACGAGUGUCCAUGUGACGCGAAGUGGUUGAUGCCAUGCUUCCAGGAAAAGCCUCUAAGCUUCAGGUAUCAAGAAACCGUACUCCAAACCGACACAGGUGGUCAGGUAGAGAAUACCAAGGCGCUUGAGAGAACUCGGGUGAAGGAACUAGGCAAAAUAGCACCGUAACUUCGGGAGAAGGUGCGCUCUCUGGUGUGAAGGACUUGCUCCGUAAGCAUCAGGGAGUCGAAGUGACCAGGCCGCUGCAACUGUUUAUCAAAAACACAGCACUCUGCAAACACGAAAGUGGACGUAUAGGGUGUGACGCCUGCCCGGUGCCGGAAGGUUAAUUGAUGGGGUGCAAGCUCUUGAUCGAAGCCCCGGUAAACGGCGGCCGUAACUAUAACGGUCCUAAGGUAGCGAAAUUCCUUGUCGGGUAAGUUCCGACCUGCACGAAUGGAGUAAUGAUGGCGGCGCUGUCUCCACCCGAGACUCAGUGAAAUUGAAAUCGCUGUGAAGAUGCAGUGUACCCGCGGCAAGACGGAAAGACCCCGUGAACCUUUACUAUAGCUUGGCACUGGACUCUGACACUAUCUGUGUAGGAUAGGUGGGAGACUUUGAAGCGUGGUCGCUAGACUGCGUGGAGUCAACCUUGAAAUACCACCCUGGUAUUGUCGGGGUUCUAACGCUGACCCGUCAUCCGGGUUGCGGACAGUGUCUGGUGGGUAGUUUGACUGGGGCGGUCUCCUCCCAAAGAGUAACGGAGGAGCACGAAGGUACCCUCAGCAUGGUCGGAAAUCAUGCAAUGAGCGCAAUGGUAGAAGGGUGCUUAACUGCGAGACCCACAAGUCGAGCAGGUACGAAAGUAGGUCAUAGUGAUCCGGUGGUUCUGUAUGGAAGGGCCAUCGCUCAACGGAUAAAAGGUACUCCGGGGAUAACAGGCUGAUUCCGCCCAAGAGUUCACAUCGACGGCGGAGUUUGGCACCUCGAUGUCGGCUCAUCACAUCCUGGGGCUGAAGCCGGUCCCAAGGGUAUGGCUGUUCGCCAUUUAAAGUGGUACGCGAGCUGGGUUCAGAACGUCGUGAGACAGUUCGGUCCCUAUCUGUCGUGGGCGUUGGAGAUUUGAGAAGAGUUGCUCCUAGUACGAGAGGACCGGAGUGAACGAACCUCUGGUGUUCGGGUUGUCACGCCAGUGGCAUUGCCCGGUAGCUAUGUUCGGACGGGAUAACCGCUGAAAGCAUCUAAGCGGGAAGCCUCCUUCAAGAUGAGAUCUCCCUGGGGCUUUAAGUCCCCUGAAGGGCCGUCGAAGACUACGACGUUGA